rfam:Felis catus isolate Cinnamon breed Abyssinian chromosome D1, whole genome shotgun sequence.
ACCUAUCUGGCUCAGUAGGUUAAGCAUCUGACUUCGGUUCAGGUCAUGAUCUCAUGGUCCAUGGGUUUGAGCCCCAUGUUGGGCU